CCUUCCUUCAGCUUCAUGUGCAAUGUGGGGUUAGAACUCAUGACCCUAAUAUUAAGAGUUGCAUGCUCUACUGAUUGAGCCUGCCAGGCACCCCAUUGUGCUGUCUCUUUUCAGGCAGGGACUCAGUCUCCUAUCAUCCUCCCAGCUCUUCCAGAGCAAUCCUGAUUUUUAAAGUUCUAUGUAUUAAGCACAACUUACUGUAAAAGCCUGUGGAAUUCAGCCCCUCUGGUUUUCAAAGCCAAAUGUUAUGGGGAUUCCUCCUGCGUGGAGGGGCUGGAGUGUCUAUUUCUCUCUCCUCUCCACACUCUCAGUGAUCCUCCCUCCCCAGGCAGUCCUGCAUGUCCAUCAGCUGUGUCUCUGCCCUUCCUACCCUCUUGUAUGUGGGCUCUUGUUUACAUUCAGCUGUGGGGAGUUUGUUCUGUCAGUCUUUGGGUUGUUUUUGGGGUUAUGUCCAUUGAUGUGUGUAUUAUCUAGAUAUGUUUGUAGGACGAGGUGAGCUUAGGGUCCUCCUACUCCACCAUCUUCUGCAGAAGUCUCUCCCUAUUCUGUUAUUGAAGGACCUUUAGGUAGUUUCCAAGUUUUGGCUCUUAUGUAAUAGCACCUUCUUGGGACUGUCUUUCAGUGAAUCUAUAUAUACAUUUCUUACAGGUACAUAUUGAAGUAGAGAAUCCGUUAGUAAAAAAAUAGGUGAACAUUCAACUCUCACAUUUUCCCCAGUGGUUAUUCCAAUUAUUCUCUCACCAUUACAGUGUGCUUGCUUUACUGGAAGAGGAAUUAAAAAAAAAAAACAAACUCUACAAUCUAACUUGUAUGUUUAAUUCAACAAAAUAUAUUGAGCAUCUGUUAUAUAUUAGGUACUUGUCUACCCUUAUGGAGCCUGUAUUCCAGGUGGGGAUAAAAAUAAUGCUAAGAAUAAGACACAACAAUGGGUUGUGAGUGCUACAGACAAAAUAAUAGAGUUGUUGGCCAAAGGGUACAGAUUUCCAGUUAUAAGAGGAGUAAGUUCUGGGGAUUUAAGGAACAGCAUGGUGACUAUAGUUUACAGUAUUGUAUAUCUGAAAGUUGCUAAGAAAGUAAAUCUUAAAUGUCUCACUGUAACAAUAACAUGGUAAUUAUGUGAAAUGAAGGAUAUGUUAAUCUUAUGGUAAUCAUUUUGCGGUAUAUACAUGUAUUAAAUCAUCAAAUCAUACACCUUAAACUUAGGCAAUGUUACAUGUCAAUAACAUCUCAAUAAAACUGGAAAAAAAAGCUAGGGUAAAGGUAAUACAGAGAGGAUGUAUUUGUGUUCUAGGUGUGGGUUUGCCAUUAUUCUUUUGACUUAUUUUAUUACUGUUUUUUAAAAGAUUUUAUUUGGGAAAGAGAGAGUGAGCAUGAGCAGAUGGAAGGAGCAGAGGCAGAGGGAGAAGCAGACUCCCCACUGAGCAGGGAGCCUGAUACAGGGCUGGGUCCCAGGAGCCUGAGAUCAUGACCUGAACUGAAAGCAGAUGCUUAACUGAGCCACCCAGAGACCCUGGUUUACCAUUAUUCUUUUGACUUUAAGUUGUUUUUUUCCCAUUGUAAAGAAAUAGAUGAUUUAAAAUUUUUAAAAUUUUUAUUAUUUAUUUGACAGAGAGCACAAGCAGGGGGAGCAGCAGAGGGAGAAGGAGAAGCAGGCUCUCCAUUAAGCAAGAAUCCCUAUAUGGGGCUCAAUCCCGGACUCUGAGGUUAUGACCUGAGCUGAAGGCAGACACUUAACUUACUGAGCCACCCAGGUGCCCUGAAAUAGAUAAUUUAAAAAGAGAAUUUAGAAGAUAGAGAGAGAGAGAGAGAGAGAGAGAGAGAGAAAUAGCUUCCCUCCCAUAUGCAGUCACUGUUAACACUUUUUUGGGGGGCAUGGAGGGUGGUCUGUUUGCUUUCAGAAGAGUUUUUAAUGCUAGAAUGUUUAUUUUCAUGGUUGAUGUCAUGCUGUUGAUAUGAUUUGGUAUUCUCUGUGUUUUCAUUUAAUGACACAGCAUAAACAUUUUAGUAUCAUAUGAUGGCAUUCUUUGUAAAUGACAUUUUAAUGGUGUAUAUUAGUCCACUGAAUACUGCAAUAUAACAAACUACAAUACCUAACAGCAGACGAUUGGUAGUUUCCAUUUUUCCUUAUUCUCUAUGAUUAUAUGAUGAAUAUUUUGGGCAUGUGAGCUUUUUUCCAGUUAUAAUUCUUUCCUUAUGAUAUAUUCCCAGAAGUAGAAAUAUUUGGUAUUACUGGUGUGUGCAUUUUAAAGGCCACUGAUGUAUGUUACUACAUUAUAGUGGUUAUACCCCCAGAAUAGAAUAGAAUGUAUUUUUGCUGUACCCUUGCUAGCAUUGGCUAUUAGUGAUUUUUUGGGUAAAGAAGAAGAGUUUGAAAAAAAAAAAAAAAAA
rnacentral:lncRNA from 1 species